rnacentral:rRNA from 1 species
AUGAACGCUGGCAGCGUGCCUAAUACAUGCAAGUCGAGCGAACGGACGAGAAGCUUGCUUCUCUGAUGUUAGCGGCGGACGGGUGAGUAACACGUGGAUAACCUACCUAUAAGACUGGGAUAACUUCGGGAAACCGGAGCUAAUACCGGAUAAUAUUUUGAACCGCAUGGUUCAAAAGUGAAAGACGGUCUUGCUGUCACUUAUAGAUGGAUCCGCGCUGCAUUAGCUAGUUGGUAAGGUAACGGCUUACCAAGGCAACGAUGCAUAGCCGACCUGAGAGGGUGAUCGGCCACACUGGAACUGAGACACGGUCCAGACUCCUACGGGAGGCAGCAGUAGGGAAUCUUCCGCAAUGGGCGAAAGCCUGACGGAGCAACGCCGCGUGAGUGAUGAAGGUCUUCGGAUCGUAAAACUCUGUUAUUAGGGAAGAACAUAUGUGUAAGUAACUGUGCACAUCUUGACGGUACCUAAUCAGAAAGCCACGGCUAACUACGUG